rnacentral:rRNA from 1 species
AUUGAACGCUAGCGGCAUGCCUUACACAUGCAAGUCGAACGGCAGCGGGGGAGCUUGCUCCCGCCGGCGAGUGGCGAACGGGUGAGUAAUACAUCGGAACGUACCCAGUAGCGGGGGAUAGCCCGGCGAAAGCCGGAUUAAUACCGCAUACGCCCUACGCGGGACAGGGGGGGAUCGCAAGCCCUCCCACGAUUGGAGCGGCCGCUGGCUGAUUAGCUAGUUGGUGGGGUAAAGGCCUACCAAGGCGACGAUCAGUAGCUGGUCUGAGAGGACGACCAGCCACACUGGGACUGAGACACGGCCCAGACUCCUACGGGAGGCAGCAGUGGGGAAUUUUGGACAAUGGGCGAAAGCCUGAUCCAGCAAUGCCGCGUGUGCGAAGAAGGCCUUCGGGUUGUAAAGCACUUUUGUCGGGGAAGAAAUCGUUUGGGUUAAUACCCCGAGCAGUUGACGGUACCUGAAGAAUAAGCACCGGCUAACUACGUGCCAGCCGCCGCCGUAA